GGGGAUUGGAAACGGGAUCACGUGAGCUUAUGCUUGCAAUGUAAGGCCUCUGGGACCGUGCGCGUGGCAACCUAUGACACCUUGAGGUGUGAUUUUACUGGUUUUGAGGUGAAGAGAAGAAGCAAAUGAGAGGAUACUAGCUAUAUAUUGGAAGUGGGGAUAUCAUACUUCUUGACUUAUUGACUGAUUUGUUGAUUUCCACUAGCCAUCUUUGCGGGGUAGCAUCUCCAUAACUAAGCUGAGUUUAUAUUUGAGACUCGGCAAUAUUAAAGAUCAAUGUCCAUAUUAUUGCUUCCAAUCCAUUAGAUUUUGAAAAUCACUAUUCAUGCUCUGAUUUUGUCACCGCAGUGUCGAUGUGUGGCAAGAACUUGGACUGAGAAAUCACUGGAAGAACAUUGAUAAUUCAUGUAUAAUUAUGUUUAGACCAUGCUUAUACCUUAUAUUGAUUGUUCAUUGUUGUC